rnacentral:rRNA from 1 species
UACGGGGGGGGCAAGCGUUGUUCGGAAUUACUGGGCGUAAAGGGUUCGUAGGUGGCCAACUAAGUCAGACGUGAAAUCCCUCAGCUUAACUGGGGAACUGCGUCUGAGACUGGAUGGCUUGAGUGCAGGAGAGGAACGCGGAAUUCCAGGUGUAGCGGUGAAAUGCGUAGAUAUCUGGAGGAAUACCGGUGGCGAAGGCGGCAUCCUGGACCGGCAUUGACGCUGAUGAGCGAAAGCUAGGGGAGCAAACGGG